AUACGGAGGGUGCGAGCGUUAAUCGGAAUUACUGGGCGUAAAGCGUGCGUAGGCGGUUUGCUAAGUCAGAUGUGAAAGCCCCGGGCUUAACCUGGGAACUGCAUUUGAUACUGGCAGACUAGAGUAUGAUAGAGGGGGGUAGAAUUCCUGGUGUAGCGGUGAAAUGCGUAGAUAUCAGGAGGAAUACCAGUGGCGAAGGCGGCCCCCUGGAUCAAUACUGACGCUGAGGUACGAAAGCGUGGGGAGCGAACAGGAUUAGAAACCCUUGUAGUCC
rnacentral:rRNA from 1 species